GGGUUGUGAGGUUAAGCGACUAAGCGUACACGGUGGAUGCCCUGGCAGUCAGAGGCGAUGAAGGACGUGCUAAUCUGCGAUAAGCGUCGGUAAGGUGAUAUGAACCGUUAUAACCGGCGAUUUCCGAAUGGGGAAACCCAGUGUGUUUCGACACACUAUCAUUAACUGAAUCCAUAGGUUAAUGAGGCGAACCGGGGGAACUGAAACAUCUAAGUACCCCGAGGAAAAGAAAUCAACCGAGAUUCCCCCAGUAGCGGCGAGCGAACGGGGAGGAGCCCAGAGCCUGAAUCAGUGUGUGUGUUAGUGGAAGCGUCUGGAAAGGCGCGCGAUACAGGGUGACAGCCCCGUACACAAAAAUGCACAUGCUGUGAGCUCGAUGAGUAGGGCGGGACACGUGGUAUCCUGUCUGAAUAUGGGGGGACCAUCCUCCAAGGCUAAAUACUCCUGACUGACCGAUAGUGAACCAGUACCGUGAGGGAAAGGCGAAAAGAACCCCGGCGAGGGGAGUGAAAAAGAACCUGAAACCGUGUACGUACAAGCAGUGGGAGCACGCUUAGGCGUGUGACUGCGUACCUUUUGUAUAAUGGGUCAGCGACUUAUAUUCUGUAGCAAGGUUAACCGAAUAGGGGAGCCGAAGGGAAACCGAGUCUUAACUGGGCGUUAAGUUGCAGGGUAUAGACCCGAAACCCGGUGAUCUAGCCAUGGGCAGGUUGAAGGUUGGGUAACACUAACUGGAGGACCGAACCGACUAAUGUUGAAAAAUUAGCGGAUGACUUGUGGCUGGGGGUGAAAGGCCAAUCAAACCGGGAGAUAGCUGGUUCUCCCCGAAAGCUAUUUAGGUAGCGCCUCGUGAAUUCAUCUCCGGGGGUAGAGCACUGUUUCGGCAAGGGGGUCAUCCCGACUUACCAACCCGAUGCAAACUGCGAAUACCGGAGAAUGUUAUCACGGGAGACACACGGCGGGUGCUAACGUCCGUCGUGAAGAGGGAAACAACCCAGACCGCCAGCUAAGGUCCCAAAGUCAUGGUUAAGUGGGAAACGAUGUGGGAAGGCCCAGACAGCCAGGAUGUUGGCUUAGAAGCAGCCAUCAUUUAAAGAAAGCGUAAUAGCUCACUGGUCGAGUCGGCCUGCGCGGAAGAUGUAACGGGGCUAAACCAUGCACCGAAGCUGCGGCAGCGACGCUUAUGCGUUGUUGGGUAGGGGAGCGUUCUGUAAGCCUGUGAAGGUGUGCUGUGAGGCAUGCUGGAGGUAUCAGAAGUGCGAAUGCUGACAUAAGUAACGAUAAAGCGGGUGAAAAGCCCGCUCGCCGGAAGACCAAGGGUUCCUGUCCAACGUUAAUCGGGGCAGGGUGAGUCGACCCCUAAGGCGAGGCCGAAAGGCGUAGUCGAUGGGAAACAGGUUAAUAUUCCUGUACUUGGUGUUACUGCGAAGGGGGGACGGAGAAGGCUAUGUUGGCCGGGCGACGGUUGUCCCGGUUUAAGCGUGUAGGCUGGUUUUCCAGGCAAAUCCGGAAAAUCAAGGCUGAGGCGUGAUGACGAGGCACUACGGUGCUGAAGCAACAAAUGCCCUGCUUCCAGGAAAAGCCUCUAAGCAUCAGGUAACAUCAAAUCGUACCCCAAACCGACACAGGUGGUCAGGUAGAGAAUACCAAGGCGCUUGAGAGAACUCGGGUGAAGGAACUAGGCAAAAUGGUGCCGUAACUUCGGGAGAAGGCACGCUGAUAUGUAGGUGAAGUCCCUCGCGGAUGGAGCUGAAAUCAGUCGAAGAUACCAGCUGGCUGCAACUGUUUAUUAAAAACACAGCACUGUGCAAACACGAAAGUGGACGUAUACGGUGUGACGCCUGCCCGGUGCCGGAAGGUUAAUUGAUGGGGUCAGCGCAAGCGAAGCUCUUGAUCGAAGCCCCGGUAAACGGCGGCCGUAACUAUAACGGUCCUAAGGUAGCGAAAUUCCUUGUCGGGUAAGUUCCGACCUGCACGAAUGGCGUAAUGAUGGCCAGGCUGUCUCCACCCGAGACUCAGUGAAAUUGAACUCGCUGUGAAGAUGCAGUGUACCCGCGGCAAGACGGAAAGACCCCGUGAACCUUUACUAUAGCUUGACACUGAACAUUGAGCCUUGAUGUGUAGGAUAGGUGGGAGGCUUAGAAGUGUGGACGCCAGUCUGCAUGGAGCCGACCUUGAAAUACCACCCUUUAAUGUUUGAUGUUCUAACGUUGACCCGUAAUCCGGGUUGCGGACAGUGUCUGGUGGGUAGUUUGACUGGGGCGGUCUCCUCCUAAAGAGUAACGGAGGAGCACGAAGGUUGGCUAAUCCUGGUCGGACAUCAGGAGGUUAGUGCAAUGGCAUAAGCCAGCUUGACUGCGAGCGUGACGGCGCGAGCAGGUGCGAAAGCAGGUCAUAGUGAUCCGGUGGUUCUGAAUGGAAGGGCCAUCGCUCAACGGAUAAAAGGUACUCCGGGGAUAACAGGCUGAUACCGCCCAAGAGUUCAUAUCGACGGCGGUGUUUGGCACCUCGAUGUCGGCUCAUCACAUCCUGGGGCUGAAGUAGGUCCCAAGGGUAUGGCUGUUCGCCAUUUAAAGUGGUACGCGAGCUGGGUUUAGAACGUCGUGAGACAGUUCGGUCCCUAUCUGCCGUGGGCGCUGGAGAACUGAGGGGGGCUGCUCCUAGUACGAGAGGACCGGAGUGGACGCAUCACUGGUGUUCGGGUUGUCAUGCCAAUGGCACUGCCCGGUAGCUAAAUGCGGAAGAGAUAAGUGCUGAAAGCAUCUAAGCACGAAACUUGCCCCGAGAUGAGUUCUCCCUGACUCCUUGAGAGUCCUGAAGGAACGUUGAAGACGACGACGUUGA
rnacentral:rRNA from 1 species